rnacentral:rRNA from 1 species
GAUGAACGCUGGCGGCGUGCCUAAUACAUGCAUGUCGAGCGAACAGAUAAGGAGCUUGCUCCUUUGACGUUAGCGGCGGACGGGUGAGUAACACGUGGGUAACCUACCUAUAAGACUGGAAUAACUCCGGGAAACCGGGGCUAAUGCCGGAUAACAUUUAGAACCGCAUGGUUCUAAAGUGAAAGAUGGUUUUGCUAUCACUUAUAGAUGGACCCGCGCCGUAUUAGCUAGUUGGUAAGGUAACGGCUUACCAAGGCAACGAUACGUAGCCGACCUGAGAGGGUGAUCGGCCACACUGGAACUGAGACACGGUCCAGACUCCUACGGGAGGCAGCAGUAGGGAAUCUUCCGCAAUGGGCGAAAGCCUGACGGAGCAACGCCGCGUGAGUGAUGAAGGUCUUCGGAUCGUAAAACUCUGUUAUUAGGGAAGAACAAAUGUGUAAGUAACUGUGCACGUCUUGACGGUACCUAAUCAGAAAGCCACGGCUAACUACGUG